rnacentral:tRNA from 1 species
AAAAAUUUAGUUAAACUAUAACGCUAGCUUGUCAAGCUAAGAUUAUUAAUAAUUAAUAAUUUUUA